rnacentral:lncRNA from 1 species
UUUUUUUUAAUUUUUUAUUUAUUAAUUAUUUUGGUACCAAAUUUCUUUAUUUGAAGGAAUGGUACAAAUCAAAGAACUUAAGUGGAUGUUUUGGUACAACUUAUAGAAAAGGUAAAGGAAACCCUAACGUGCACGCACUGCCUUGGUGACCAAGGAAGGCACCCCACGGCUAUGGGGAAAUUAGCCUGAGACUUAGCUUUCAUUAUCACUGUCUCCCAGGGUGUGCUUGUCGAAGAGAUAUUCUGCCGAGCCAGAUUCGGGCGCUCCCAUCUUGCGCAAGUUGGUCACGUGGUCACUCAAUUCUUUGAUGGCUUUCACCUGCUCAUUCAGGUAAUGUGUCUCAAUGAAGUCACACAAAUGGGGGUCAUUUUUGUCAGUGGCCAGUUUGUACAGUUCCAGUAGUGACUGAUUCACAUUUUUUUCCAAAUAUAAUGCACACUCCAUCGCAUUCAGCCCGCUCUCCCAGUCAUCACAGUCUGGUUUCUUGAUAUCCUGAAGGAAGAUUCGGCCACCUCGUUGGUUCUGCAGCUUCAUCAGUUUCUCAGCAUGUUCCCUCUCCUCAUGAGAUUGGUAAAGAAAGUAUUUGGCAAAGUUCUUCAAAGCCACAUCAUCGCGGUCAAAGUAUAAGACAUGGACAGGAACCACAUUCUACUUGUGUAGGAGCUGCGACAGUAACCAACUCAUCCUGCCCUACUCACAGUAUAGCAUCUUUAGGCAUUGACUACAAUCAGCCAAGUCACCGGCUGAGGGGAAGAACAAGAACCAACCUUGAACUAUGAUCUAAGACAAGUACUGUACCUAAGGUCCUAAAACAUAUUGGUGAUAUGGAAGGUAGACAAAAUGGCCAAAUAGAAGCCUUCACCCAUUGUUCUCCCUGCAGAAACACUAAAUUGAACAACUAUCCACACAUAAAUCACCUUCAUAUGAAGCAAAAAUCAGAUGGCAUCUCUGGACCUGCACAGGAUCCGGGGGAACUUACUUACCUAAGGAGAGGAUACAAGCCUGGUUGGCUUCACAACCUCUCAUCAUAAGAGUCCUGGGGCCUUCAGCCUUGAGCAAAUCCACAUUAAACAAUGAUGAGUUCAAAUGGAAACAUACAGCCUUUCAACACUGGCUCCAAGAGAUGGCAUCUAGAAGAAACAGACUGAUUCUGCAGAGUUCUGAAGGGAGCAGGUGACUUAGCAAUUCUGUCUUCAGUUUCUCUGUGAACAUCAUCAAUGUUUUCCUGUGCUCCAGUUGUCAAACUUCAUCAGCGAAAUGUUGGGGUCAUUUAAAGCUGCUGCUUUGCAUUCACUGAAACGACUAACAACCACAAGGAAACAUGAUUUCUCCGACAGCAAUGAAUAAAACAAUUGCCUGACUAAAGAGGAGAUAUCCUCUUUAGAUAAAACGACUGAAGACCCAUUACCAAAAUAGGGAAAAAGAAACAAUCUCUAUGAAAGAGUUUCAAAUAAAAA